rnacentral:miRNA from 1 species
AAGCAGGAGGUGUCAGAAAACUUACCACAGUGAUAACUGGCUUGUGGUGGCCAAGCUUCAUGUCGCUUUUUGAUCCUU